rnacentral:rRNA from 1 species
UUUCCUACGGGGGGCAGCAGUGAGGAAUAUUGGUCAAUGGGCGAGAGCCUGAACCAGCCAAGUCGCGUGAGGGAGUACUGCCCUAUGGGUUGUAAACCUCUUUUGUCGGGGAGCAAAAGCCGAACGUGUCCGGCUGUGAGAGUACCCGAAGAAAAAGCAUCGGCUAACUCCGUGCCAGCAGCCGCGGUAAUACGGAGGAUGCGAGCGUUAUCCGGAUUUAUUGGGUUUAAAGGGUGCGCAGGCGGAUUUUUAAGUCAGCGGUCCAAUCGUGGGGCUCAACCCCGACGAGCCGUUGAAACUGGCUU